rnacentral:rRNA from 1 species
UAAGGAAUAUUGGACAAUGCCCGCAAGGGUGAUCCAGCCAUGCCGCGUGCAGGAAGACGGCCCUAUGGGUUGUAAACUGCUUUUGUACCGGAGAAAACCCCCCUACGUGUAGGGGGCUGAUAGUAUGGUAAGAAUAAGCAUCGGCUAACUUCGUGCCAGCAGCCGCGGUAAGACGAAGGAUGCAAGCGUUAUCCGGAUUCAUUGGGUUUAAAGGGAGCGUAGGUGGUCUACUAAGUCAGUGGUGAAAUCUCUCGGCUUAACUGAGAAAUUGCCAUUGAUACUGGAAGACUUGAGUAUAGUUGCCGUUGGCGGAAUAUGACAUGUAGUGGUGAAAUACAUAGAGAUGUCAUAGAACACCGAUUGCGAAGGCAGCUAACGAAACUAUAACUGACACUGAGGCUCGAAAGUGCGGGGAUCAAACAGG